rnacentral:rRNA from 1 species
GCUCGUAGGCGGCCUGUUGCGUCCGCUGUGAAAUCCCAGGGCUUAACCCUGGGCCUGCAGUGGAUACGGGCAGGCUGGAGGCAGGCAGGGGAGAACGGAAUUCCCGGUGUAGCGGUGAAAUGCGCAGAUAUCGGGAGGAACACCGGUGGCGAAGGCGGUUCUCUGGGCCUGUUCUGACGCUGAGGAGCGAAAGCGUGGGUAGCAAACAGGAUUAGAUACCCUGGUAGUCCACGCCGUAAACGUUGGGCGCUAGGUGUGGGUCCCUUCCACGGGGUCUGUGCCGCAGCUAACGCAUUAAGCGCCCCGCCUGGGGAGUACGGCCGCAAGGCUAAAACUCAAAGAAAUUGACGGGGGCCCGCACAAGCGGCGGAGCAUGUUGCUUAAUUCGACGCAACGCGAAGAACCUUACCAAGGUUUGACAUGGACCGAAAACUCAUGGAGACAUGGGGUCCUUCGGGGCGGUUCACAGGUGGUGCAUGGCUGUCGUCAGCUCGUGUCGUGAGAUGUUGGGUUAAGUCCCGCAACGAGCGCAACCCUCGUCCAAUGUU